UGCAAGCCAAGCUGGAUAAAAGUCUCAAAGAAAAGGAGUUGGUGGAUGAUUUUAAUGAAAGUCUUUUGAGAAACAAGGAGAUAUGACAAAAGAUCAUUGUGAAAACUGAAGACAGGUGUGUUCCGAUUUAAGGUAAACUUGGUUAUCAAGGAGCUCGUUGAGGAAAAGGAUGAAGAAGAAGAAAAGUUGAAUAGAAUUAUUGCGGGGCCGUCGGCUGAAAAAGAAAAAAAGAUAAGGUGGAUAAAGAUACUAUGCUCGAUAGGAUAUCACAAGUUGAAGCUACGUUAACAGCUAUUGUUCUAAGAUAUGUUAUAAACACUUAGUUUUGAAUGUUUCGAUGUUUAUCAUAUUAGGAUAAUUCCAGUUAUUUAACAUUUUAGUUGGUAUUUAUUAUUAAAUUGUUUUAUAUGA